UUCGUCCAUUCGCACUAGUUGACCGACUCGAAUACGCACCCUUCGUUCAUAUCCCAGUUUGAUCAUAGGGGCCCAGUUCCGAGUGCGUCGCCG
rnacentral:lncRNA from 1 species